rnacentral:misc_RNA from 1 species
GAAAUGCGAUAAGUAAUGUGAAUUGCAGAAUUCAGUGAAUCAUCGAAUCUUUGAACGCACAUUGCGCCCGCCAGUAUUCUGGCGGGCAUGCCUGUCCGAGCGUCAUUUCAACCAUCAAGCCCCCGGGCUUGUGUUGGGGACCUGCGGCUGCCCGCAGGCCCUGAAAACCAGUGGCGGGCUCGCUGUCACACCGAGCGUAGUAGCAAUCACCUCGCUCAGGGCGUGCUGCGGAUUCCGGCCGUUAAACAGCCUUACAAAACCCAAGGUUGACCUCGGAUCAGGUAGGAAGACCCGCUGAACUUAAGC